CUAAAAACAUAGCCCAACUACAUACCCCAACAUCAAACUAUAAGCCAAAAUAUUUUAACAAUUUAGUAAAGAAGAUUAAAAAAUUCAUAGGAGCUAUAAAUACGUACCGCAAGGGAAAUGUGAAAUAACAAUGAAACACUAAUUAAGUGCAAAAAAGUAGAGCCACGCCCUCGUACCUUUUGCAUCAUGGUUUAACUAGUAAAUUCAGGCAAAAAGAAUUGUAGUCUGAUACCCCGAAACUAAGUGAGCUACUCCAGGACAGCUUAAUGAGCCAACCCGUCUCUGUUGCAAAAGAGUGGGAAGAUCUUAGAGUAGAGAUGAUAUACCUAACGAACUUAGCGAUAGCUGGUUAUUCAGGAAAAGAAUUUUAGUUCAACCUAAAGCUACAAUAAUAUCUAAGAUAAAAACUUAGCUUUAGAGUAAAUCAGAGAGGUAACAGCCUAUCUGAAUCAGGAUACAGCCUCCACCUAUGGGUAAUAUAACCUUAAAGUAACCAAGUAGGCCUAAGAGCAGCCACCUUUAAAACAGCGUCAAAGCUUAAUUACUAUACACCACAAAUCCCAAAACCAAAUUAAAACCCUACCCCAAUACUGAGUAAUUCCAUACAUUUAUGGAAGCUAUUAUGUUAAAACUAGUAACAUGAAGUUAAACCUUCUCUUAAAUGUAAGUAUAAGUCAGAAUGGAUAACACACUGACAAUUAACAGCUUUAACUAAAGUGACAACCCAACAAGAAAACCUCACUAAUUAAUCUGUUAAUCUAACACAAGAACAUUUAAAGAAAGACUUAAAGAAAAAGAAGGAACUCGGCAAAACUGAUUCCGCCUGUUUACCAAAAACAUCGCCUCCUGGAUUAACUUAUAGGAGGUCCAGCCUGCCCAGUGACUCUGUUUAACGGCCGCGGUAUCCUAACCGUGCGAAGGUAGCGUAAUCACCUGUUUUUUAAUUAAAGACCUGUAUGAAAGGCAUCACGAGAAUCAUACUGUCUCCUUUUUCAAGUCAGUGAAACUAAUCUCCCCGUGAAAAAGCGGGAAUGUCACUACAAGACGAGAAGACCCUUUGGAGCUUUAGACAAGAUAAACAUUCGCCCACUUUUAAUCCCAUAUACCUCCAGGCGCUCUGUCUAUAAGUCUUGGGUUGGGGCAACCACGGAGUAAAAACAAACCUCCGAGCUGAACGGAAAUUUCCUAAACAAAAAGCAACAGCUUUAUGUAUCAACAAACUGACACAAUUUGACCCAAUAUAUUUUGAUUAACGAACCAAGUUACCCUAGGGAUAACAGCGCAAUCCACUUUAAGAGUUCAUAUCGAAAAGUGGGCUUACGACCUCGAUGUUGGAUCAAGGUACCCUGGUGGUGCAGCCGCUACCAAAGGUUCGUUUGUUCAACGAUUAAAACCUCACGCGAUCUGAGUUCAGACCGGAGAAAUCCAGGUCAGUUUCUAUCUGUAAAGAGCUCUUUCCAGUACGAAAGGACAGAAACAGCAUGGCCAAUAUAACCUACAAGCCAUACCUAGUAACUUCUGAUUUUUCUUAAAAAAUUAUUACCCUCCCAUAUAACUCAAGAUAAGAGAA
rnacentral:rRNA from 1 species